rnacentral:rRNA from 1 species
CUUGGUCAUUUAGAGGAAGUAAAAGUCGUAACAAGGUCUCCGUAGGUGAACCUGCGGAGGGAUCAUUACACAAAUAUGAAGGCGGGCUGGAACCUCUCGGGGUUACAGCCUUGCUGAAUUAUUCACCCUUGUCUUUUGCGUACUUCUUGUUUCCUUGGUGGGUUCGCCCACCACUAGGACAAACAUAAACCUUUUGUAAUUGCAAUCAGCGUCAGUAACAAAUUAAUAAUUACAACUUUCAACAACGGAUCUCUUGGUUCUGGCAUCGAUGAAGAACGCAGCGAAAUGCGAUAAGUAGUGUGAAUUGCAGAAUUCAGUGAAUCAUCGAAUCUUUGAACGCACAUUGCGCCCUUUGGUAUUCAAAGGGCAUGCCUGUUCGAGCGUCAUUUGUACCCUCAAGCUUUGCUUGGUGUUGGGCGUCUUGUCUCUAGCUUUGCUGGAGACUCGCCUUAAAGUAAUUGGCAGCCGGCCUACUGGUUUCGGAGCGCAGCACAAGUCGCACUCUCUAUCAGCAAAGGUCUAGCAUCCAUUAAGCCUUUUUUUCAACUUUUGACCUCGGAUCAGGUAGGGAUACCCGCUGAACUUAAGCAUAUCAAUAAGCGGAGGA